GAUGAACGCUGACAGAAUGCUUAACACAUGCAAGUCAACUGUGGCGGACGGGUGAGUAACGCGUAAAGAACUUGCCUCACAGAUAGGGACAACAUUUGGAAACGAAUGCUAAUACCUGAUACUGUGAGAGAGCUUUGCGUCCCAUUAGCUAGUUGGAGAGGUAACGGCUCACCAAGGCGAUGAUGGGUAGCCGGCCUGAGAGGGUGAUCGGCCACAAGGGGACUAGGAAGCGGCCCUUACUGCUACGGGAGGCAGGAGUGGAGAAUAUUGGACGAUAGACCAAAGUCUGAUCAAGCAAUUCUGUGUGCACGAUGAAGUUUUCGGAAUGUAAAGUGCUUUCAGUUGGGAAGCGGUACCAACAGAAGAAGUGACGGCUAAAUACGUGCCAGCAGCCGCGGUAAUUC
rnacentral:rRNA from 1 species